AUUGAACGCUGGCGGCAGGCCUAACACAUGCAAGUCGAGCGGUUGAAGGGAGCUUGCUCCUGGAUUCAGCGGCGGACGGGUGAGUAAUGCCUAGGAAUCUGCCUGGUAGUGGGGGAUAACGUCCGGAAACGGGCGCUAAUACCGCAUACGUCCUGAGGGAGAAAGUGGGGGAUCUUCGGACCUCACGCUAUCAGAUGAGCCUAGGUCGGAUGAGCUAGUUGGUGGGGUAAAGGCCUACCAAGGCGACGAUCCGUAACUGGUCUGAGAGGAUGAUCAGUCACACUGGAACUGAGACACGGUCCAGACUCCGACGGGAGGCAGCAGUGGGGAAUAUUGGACAAGGGGCGAAAGCCUGAUCCAGCCAUGCCGCGGGUGUGAAGAAGGGCUUCGGAUGGUAAAGCACUUUAAGUUGGGAGGAAGGGCAGUAAGUUAAUACCUUGCUGUUUGGACGUUACCAACAGAAUAAGCACCGGCUAACUUCGU
rnacentral:rRNA from 1 species